rnacentral:rRNA from 1 species
AAUGAACGCUGGCGGCGCGCCUAAUACAUGCAAGUCGAGCGAGAAGACGUAGCAAUACGUUUGUAAAGCGGCGAACGGGUGAGGAAUACAUGGGUAACCUACCCUCGAGUGGGGAAUAACUAGCCGAAAGGUUAGCUAAUACCGCGUACGCUCCUUGGACUUCGGUUCAGGGAGGAAAGCGAUACCGUGGGUAUCGCGCUCUUGGUUGGGCUCAUGUCCUAUCAGCUUGUUGGUGAGGUAACGGCUCACCAAGGCUUCGACGGGUAGCUGGUCUGAGAGGAUGAUCAGCCACACUGGAACUGAGACACGGGUCCAGACUCCUACGGGAGGCAGCAGUAAGGAAUAUUGCUCAAUGGGA